rnacentral:rRNA from 1 species
AUGGCUCUCUAUCUUCACCGCAUACCCCUCCUCCUCGUGCUCACCCUCCUCCUAUCCACCGCCUCCGCCACCCACUCGCCGGAAACCGCUACCGCCUCCGCGCGCACUCACCACCACCGCCGCCGCUCGCCGAUCGGCACGGCCACCGCCCACUUCCACCCCGUCCCUGGGGCCGCGCCCUCCAUGCACCAAAACCACCUCAACGCGGACAGCCAGUCCCUGCUCUCCGCCGACGACGUCGACCCCGUCCUCGCCGACGCGCAGCCCACGGACGCGGCGGAGGCACGUCCCGCUCCGCUCCUGCCACCCCAGGCCGCGGCGCAGCCGCAGGAGGAGGGGUCCGCGCCGACGACGCCCGCUGCAGCGACGACGACGACGACCAGCACGCCUCUCCCGCUCCCUGCCACGGUGGCGACGACCGCGAGCCCGCCCCCGCCUCCCGCCGCGUCCGACGCCGAGCAGGGGCUGCAGCAGCUCGCGAGGGUGCUCACCUCCCUCGGGUACAACGAGAUGGCGUCGGAGGCGCCGCUGCUCGCCCGCGCGCCGCCGCUCGCGAGGUUUUCGCGGCCCCCGACACCUUCCUCCAGGCCUCCUGCCCCAUGUGCUCCCGCCGCCACCUCCUCCAGCAGCACAUCGCCAUGGGCUACUACCCCUACUCCGACCUCGCCGCGGCCGCCACCAUGA